UACGUAGGGUGCAGGCGUUAAUCGGAAUUACUGGGCGUAAAGCGCGCGUAGGUGGUUUGUUAAGUUGAAUGUGAAAUCCCCGGGCUCAACCUGGGAACUGCAUCCAAAACUGGCAAGCUAGAGUAGGGCAGAGGGUGGUGGAAUUUCCUGUGUAGCGGUGAAAUGCGUAGAUAUAGGAAGGAACACCAGUGGCGAAGGCGACCACCUGGGCUCAUACUGACACUGAGGUGCGAAAGCGUGGGGAGCAAACAGG
rnacentral:rRNA from 1 species